GUCUAUGGCCAUGCCGCCCUGAACAAGCCCAAUCCCGUCUGAUCUCGGAAGCUAAGCAGGGUCGGGCCUGGUUAGUACUUGGAUGGGAGACCACCUAGGAAGACCAGGUGCUAUAGGCA
rnacentral:rRNA from 1 species